rnacentral:rRNA from 1 species
ACGAACGCUGGCGGCGUGGAUAAGACAUGCAAGUCGAACGGGAGAAUUGCUAGCUUGCUAAUAAUUCUCUAGUGGCGCACGGGUGAGUAACACGUGAGUAACCCGCCUCUUAGUGGGGGAUAGCCCUGGGAAACCGGGAUUAAUACCGCAUACGAUUGAAAGAUCAAAGCAGCAAUGUGCUAGGAGAUGGGCUCGCGGCCUAUUAGUUAGUUGGUGAGGUAACGGCUCACCAAGGCGAUGACGGGUAGCCGGUCUGAGAGGAUGUCCGGCCACACUGGAACUGAGACACGGUCCAGACACCUACGGGUGGCAGCAGUCGAGAAUCAUUCACAAUGGGGGCAACCCUGAUGGUGCGACGCCGCGUGGGGGAAUGAAGGUCUUCGGAUUGUAAACCCCUGUCAUGUGGGAGCAAAUUAAAAAGAUAGUACCACAAGAGGAAGAGACGGCUAACUCUGUGCCAGCAGCCGCGGUAAUACAGAGGUCUCAAGCGUUGUUCGGAAUCACUGGGCGUAAAGCGUGCGUAGGCUGUUUCGUAAGUCGUGUGUGAAAGGCAGGGGCUCAACCCCUGGAUUGCACAUGAUACUGCGAGACUAGAGUAAUGGAGGGGGAACCGGAAUUCUCGGUGUAGCAGUGAAAUGCGUAGAUAUCGAGAGGAACACUCGUGGCGAAGGCGGGUUCCUGGACAUUAACUGACGCUGAGGCACGAAGGCCAGGGGAGCGAAAGGGAUUAGAUACCCCUGUAGUCCUGGCAGUAAACGGUGCACGCUUGGUGUGCGGGGAAUCGACCCCCUGCGUGCCGGAGCUAACGCGUUAAGCGUGCCGCCUGGGGAGUACGGUCGCAAGAUUAAAACUCAAAGAAAUUGACGGGGACCCGCACAAGCGGUGGAGUAUGUGGCUUAAUUCGAUGCAACGCGAAGAACCUUACCUGGGCUUGACAUGUAAUGAACAACAUGUGAAAGCAUGCGACUCUUCGGAGGCGUUACACAGGUGCUGCAUGGCCGUCGUCAGCUCGUGUCGUGAGAUGUUUGGUUAAGUCCAGCAACGAGCGCAACCCCUGUUGCCAGUUACCAGCACGUCAAGGUGGGGACUCUGGCGAGACUGCCCAGAUCAACUGGGAGGAAGGUGGGGACGACGUCAGGUCAGUAUGGCCCUUAUGCCCAGGGCUGCACACGUACUACAAUGCCCAGUACAGAGGGGGCCGAAGCCGCGAGGCGGAGGAAAUCCUGAAAACUGGGCCCAGUUCGGACUGUAGGCUGCAACCCGCCUACACGAAGCCGGAAUCGCUAGUAAUGGCGCAUCAGCUACGGCGCCGUGAAUACGUUCCCGGGUCUUGUACACACCGCCCGUCACAUCAUGGAAGCCGGUCGCACCCGAAGUAUCUGAAGCCAACCGCAAGGAGGCAGGGUCCUAAGGUGAGACUGGUAACUGGGAUG